UAGUUCACGCUUGUAAAAGCCUCUCCUUUUCAUCUCUCUGCCUCCAGAGCUGCCUGGGAAGUGUGUGUGUGUGCCCAACACAGACGCUUGCAGUUUCAGAGAGCAAAAUAGAUGGAUAUGAUUGUGACACGAUGUCUGAAAACUCUCAAAAGUAUAAUAAGUUUUUCUUCCAGGGAGACAUUUGAUUGUAAGUAUGAGAAAUAGAAGACCACAAUGCCAGUUAGUGAAAACAGAAUGUUGGAACUGGAGUGUAUUCAGAGAAUCUAAAGGAUGAUGCUCUCGGCUCUGAUUAAGGCCACAGAUCUUCAAAUGAUCUUCAAGUUUCUGCCUUACUUUACAACUUCAUCAUGUACCAUAUUCUUCCCACCUCUUCAUGCUCAGAUAUACUGGCCUACCUUCAAGUCUGACUGUGUCACAGGGCCUUUGCACCUGAUUCCAUAGUCUAGACCCCCUUCCUCCACCUCCUUCUUUGUGUCUGUAGCUCUUACUUAUCCAUUGAAUCUUAUCUCAUUAGUCACUACAUUAUGAAAGCCAUCUCAGACUCCUCCUUUCAGAUUCCCUUUUUUGUGUGCAUUAAUAAACUAUAGUUUGUUGUUGUUUUUCCUGUUUGGCACUUA